rnacentral:lncRNA from 1 species
CGAUGGAAUUAUUUCCUCGCUGGCCGGUGCUGGAAGAGAGUUAAAUCGGCUGAAUUACCCGGGGUCAGAGCGACUCGGCCGCGGGGCUGCAGGGAGGACAGGGAGCCUUUCUGUCGGCUGCUUCCCCCGGGGAAUAGCAGAGCACCGGGGCAGCCCCGACGGGGCGGUGAGGGGCCGGACCGAACGUGGCAAAGCCGCGGGGACCCGGGCACGGGCAGGCUGCGAGCAUCGCCGCAUCCUCGGCGGGCCCGUGGGCCGCUUGAGAAAGUCAGGGCGGGCCGGGGGCAGGCUGAGACGCCCCUUCCCCGUAAGGAUGGGGUUUAUGUCGAAACAGAACCGGAGCAGAAAAUCACCCGCUCUCAUCGUCGGCUAGUAGAUCCCCGCCGGGAAGUUUUCGCCCCAGCAUCUCCUGGCGGGCCGGGGCGGGGGGCGGGGGGGGGGGGCAUCACCUCCAGACGGGGUGUGGGAGCGAACCCCAAAACCUCAACGGGGCCCGCAAAGGAGGGAGCCACCCCCAGCCCUCCCCGGGGGCGGGCGGACACCUCCAGCCCCGGGCCCGGGGCGGUGCGGGGCGCGCUGGGGGCCGCAUCCUGCCCCCGCUCCGCCCGGCCCCGCGCCAGGGGGAGGCUGCGGGCGCGUCCCCCCCGCCGGCAGCGGAGCCGCCGGGACUUGUGCCGACCCCCCCUGCCGGGAGGCGCCCAAUCCCGGCCGGACCGGGGCUGCCCCGCCGGCCGUCACGUGGGCCGGCCCGCACCGGGGCCGCCUAAAGAGCCCGAGCGGAGCCGCCGCCGCCACUUCCCCGCCGGGCGCAGCCAGGGACGCACCCACGGGAGACGGGGAGGCGACAAGGGGCACAGCGGGGGAGGGCAGCCCCUCUCUUCCAGGGGGUUUGGUUUUUUUCUUUUUUCUCCUGCCUCCCCCGUGAGCUUUACUGUAUUUUUCUUUUUUAAUUAUUAUUUUAAUUUUGCUGGGAUUUCCCUGGAUGGUCUGAGCACAGCUCCAUGUCCCCACGGCCAUGCCCGGCUCCGCUCCCGGCACGCUGCCAUGUGAGUACCUGUGCGGGAGGAGCGGGCCAGGGCGGGAUGCUCUUGCGGGGUUCGGCGGCUGCAGCCCUCCGGCCGCACGGACAGGCCUGCUCCAGGGUUAUUGCGCUUUUGAACAGGAAAGCGGCAGCGCUGGUGGCUGGGGGACAGCGGGGAUGCUCCCGAUCCUGGAUCUCUGCCCAGAUCCGUCGGGACCCCGCUCCCGCAGGGAACCCGAGGGGCCGCAGCUGGCCACGUCCUCGCCAACAAGGCCCCGAGCUGCGCUCCAGGCCCCGGGUUUGGGCGGGGGGAAAGAAGGACGGGAAGGGAAAUACUAUUGGGGAAAAAAAAAAAAUAAUUGUUAGAGUGUUUUUCCGGCCCGUUGGAUGUGCCCAGGCGGACGGCGGGUAGGGUGAAGUGCUGGAGGGGUCGCUGCCCCUUCCAAGGAGGUUAAUCCUCGCCGGGCUCAAAAGAAAAUUAAAGGGAAAACAAAACAAAGAAAAAAAAAUUUACAAAUUUCAGCCCCUGCUUGAGGCAAGGAAUAGGCGUUUUCGGCGGGGGAAAGGCCGUCGGGUGCCCGGUGCGUGCGGGAUCUCAGCCCGCU